CCUACGGGAGGCAGCAGUAGGGAAUUUUCGUCAAUGGGCGCAAGCCUGAACGAGCGAUGCCGCGUGAGUGAAGAAGGCCUUCGGGUCGUAAAGCUCUGUUGCGGGGGAAAAAAGGCAGCAUCAGGAAAUGGGUGCUGACUGAUGGUGCCCCGACAGAAAGUCACGGCUAACUAUGUGCCAGCAGCCGCGGUAAUACGUAGGUGGCGAGCGUUAUCCGGUAUGGUUGGGCGUAAAGGGUGCGCAGGUGGUCCUGCAAGUCUGGAGGGAAACGGAUGCGCCCAACUCAUGCAUGGCUAUGGAAACUGGAGGACUGGAGAGCAGGAGAGGGCGGUGGAACAACAUGUGUAGCGGUAAAAUGCGUAGAUAUAUGGAAGAACACCAGUGGCGAAGGCGGCCGCCUGGCCUGUUGCUGACGCUGAGGCACGAGAGCGUGGGGAGCAAAUAGGAUUAGAUACCCUAGUAGUC
rnacentral:rRNA from 1 species